ensembl:lncRNA
CACAAACAAGAUGAGACGUUUCAUUUAGACACUGUUCUAAAUUUAAUACUGAAAAUAGCAAGAUACAAAUUGGGAAGAAGCUUCUAAGGUAGGUUUCUCUGUUCUUAGAAGCAUCGGUGGUGUGAAAACUUGGCAGGAGCUGAAUUUGAACAACUGCAGCACUUGCGAUAAUCUCUAGUUUUAUUUCAAAGCCACUAAGUACCUAGAAAAUACAACAGACUCUUCAGUCAGCAGUUUUUUUGUGCUGCAUCAUUUCCACUGCAAUUGGCAAAUAACGAAAAAACAAGCAGGCUGCUCACGUCCGGACAGAAACAAGGCUUCUGUGACACUGUACAAGGGAGAACUUUUAGAACAAAGCUUAUGGCACAGCGUUCAUUUGAGAAGCUUCUAGCAAUUUAGAAGUGGUUAUCUGACAGUAUUUCUUGCUUUAUGCAACAGCAAGCACUGCUAUCAGUGACAAGCAACUUUGUAUUAAUAGAAACAUGUGAAGCUUACUCAUCGUGCCCUUACCAAUACAACUGCCAGCAACAUAAAGGCAGUUGCACAUUUCUUGUUGGUAGAAAGACAGCCACUAACACCAAUAAACACAGUUAUGACACAUGACCUCUCCCAGGCAAAGUGAUUUCUUCUCCUCACACUCCAUCAGCUGUGCAGUUUCUGCUCUGUUUCUCUGCUAGAAAGGAACGCGCAGUAAGUAUAUCAUAACUCACAGUGUCAUGUAGUAAUAAUCCCUGUACAACACCAUCACUAACUGCCUCAUUCAGCACAUUUUCCCCAUUUUCUGAGAGUUUAGAUGAAAUUUGACAGGUGGUAUCAUUUUUUUUUCCCCAAGGUAGUGAUUCAUAAGCAUUCAGCUGGAACCUUAGGAUUUGUUCUGCCUCAGAGGGAACUAGCGUGAGGUAACUGCAACUAUUUCUGAUUUGCAACAUUGUCAUAGAGUGUAAGGUAUUCGCAUUUUCUUCAGCAAGAACUUGCUCUGACACGGUAGGAAUGCUCGUGAGCAAGCACUCAGAAGUGCAGACUCAUAUCUUAUCAGCACCAAACACUGUCAUGUUCCUCUGGGGCUGCAUACGGAGAUUUAAACAGCUUGACUGUGACUUGCGUAACUCUGCAUGAACACCAGAAUCCCAAAUUUUCCA